AGAACGAACGCUGGCGGCAUGCCUAAUACAUGCAAGUCGAACGAACACUUCGGUGUUAGUGGCGCACGGGUGCGUAACGCGUGGGAAUCUGCCCUUGGGUUCGGAAUAACAGUUGGAAACGACUGCUAAUACCGGAUGAUAUCGAAAGAUCAAAGAUUUAUCGCCCAGGGAUGAGCCCGCGUAGGACUAGCUAGUUGGUGAGGUAAAGGCUCACCAAGGCGACGAUCCUUAGCUGGUCUGAGAGGAUGAUCAGCCACACUGGGACUGAGACACGGCCCAGACUCCUACGGGAGCAGCAGUAGGGAAUAUUGGACAAUGGGCGCAAGCCUGAUCCAGCAAUGCCGCGUGAGUGAUGAA
rnacentral:rRNA from 1 species